rnacentral:rRNA from 1 species
UACGUAGGGGGCAAGCGUUGUCCGGAAUCAUUGGGCGUAAAGAGCGUGUAGGCGGCUCGGUAAGUCCGCUGUGAAAGUCCAGGGCUCAACCCUGGAAUGCCGGUGGAAACUGUCGAGCUAGAGUCCGGAAGAGGCGAGUGGAAUUCCUGGUGUAGCGGUGAAAUGCGCAGAUAUCAGGAGGAACACCAAUGGCGAAGGCAGCUCGCUGGGACGGUACUGACGCUGAGACGCGAAAGCGUGGGGAGCAAACAGGAU